rnacentral:SRP_RNA from 1 species
GCUGGGCACAGUGGCGCGUGCCUGUGUCUCAGCUACUCGUGAGGCUGAGACUGGAGGAUCGCUUGAGCCCAGAAAUUCUGGGCUGUAGUGUGCUAUGGAGAUCAGGUGUCCGCACUAAGUUCAGCAUCAAUAUGGUGACCUCCCGGGAGCGGGGGACCACCAGGUUGCCUAAGGAGGGGUGAACCAGCCCAGGUGGGAAACGGAGCAGGUCAAAACUCCCAUGCUAAUCAAUAGUUGGAUCGUGCCACUGCGUCUCAGCCUGGGCAGCUAGCAAGACCCUGUCUCU